GGAUUAGAUACCCUGGUAGUCCACGCCGUAAACGAUGUCAACUAGGUGUCGGGCAGAUCUACUGUUCGGUGCCGUAGCUAACGCGUUAAGUUGACCGCCUGGGGAGUACGGCCGCAAGGUUGAAACUCAAAGGAAUUGACGGGGGCCCGCACAAGCGGUGGAGCAUGUGGUUUAAUUCGAUGCAACGCGAAGAACCUUACCAGCUCUUGACAUACAGAGAACUUUCUAGAGAUAGAUUGGUGCCUUCGGGAACUCUGAUACAGGUGCUGCAUGGCUGUCGUCAGCUCGUGCCG
rnacentral:rRNA from 1 species